UUCGUAAGGACGCCUGGAGUCCCAAGCAAUGCCUGAGAGCUGCGUGCAAAAGUUCCAGCGGCUCCAUCUUCAGCUGGGCCUAAUGAGAGUUCACAACUCUCGGCGAGACUCCCCUUGCGGGGCUUUAUUUACCGCACUGCUGAGUAAGGACCACUUUAUCUACUAUCGUCUUUCACCAACGCCUUCAUCAGUGUGUGUUUUUGGCUGCUGGUGGUUUUUUUUUAAAUAAACGAGAGCAGAUUAUUUGUGUCCCAAGGCCAUGACUCAAGUUCGCUGUUUGCCAGCUGCGAGGAAGACAGAGCCCGGUCCUCUGGGGCCAGCCCUGUCUCGGCAGAGCUGGAGGAGGGUCACCAGUGAGGACAAGUGGAAAAGAAGGAAGGAGGCAGAAGCUCUCUUAUCUCCAGAUUAAGGAAGCACCGGAAGGAUGUGACCUUGGAAACGAACUUCUGCCAAGGAGCUGGGAGACCCUCAAACUGACUUCUGGCAGGUCUGGCGUUGCCUGACGCUAGCAUCCCAGGAACAGUCGAGGAAGAUGUGGUUGAGGUCAUAGCUGACAGCCUGCAAGUGACGGAGUUGGGAAAGGGGUGUCCUGUGUGGCAGGUGACUCCCAGAGCAAAGAAAUCAGGACCACAAACAUCCUCCCUAGGAAGAAAGAGGCUGCAGCUUGGGAACUGUCCUUGUUCAGAGUGGGAGGGAAGGGGAGAUAAAUACACUUGACGGCACCACACUGCUGCUUACCUGCACGUCUGGAGAUGGGGCAGACACCUUCUUCAUUCACUCUGUUGAACUUUCCCCAGCUCCCAAACCUUCCUCCCUUGUUCCUUCA